GUACACUCCUGCGGGAGGCAGCAGUGGGGAAUUUUGGACAAUGGGCGAAAGCCUGAUCCAGCCAUGCCGCGUGCAGGAUGAAGGCCUUCGGGUUGUAAACUGCUUUUGUACGGAACGAAACGGCCUUUUCUAAUAAAGAGGGCUAAUGACGGUACCGUAAGAAUAAGCACCGGCUAACUACGUGCCAGCAGCCGCGGUAAUACGUAGGGUGCAAGCGUUAAUCGGAAUUACUGGGCGUAAAGCGUGCGCAGGCGGUUAUGUAAGACAGUUGUGAAAUCCCCGGGCUCAACCUGGGAACUGCAUCUGUGACUGCAUAGCUAGAGUACGGUAGAGGGGGAUGGAAUUCCGCGUGUAGCAGUGAAAUGCGUAGAUAUGCGGAGGAACACCGAUGGCGAAGGCAAUCCCCUGGACCUGUACUGACGCUCAUGCACGAAAGCGUGGGGAGCAAACAGGAUUAGAUACCCUUGUAGUCCUAU
rnacentral:rRNA from 1 species